rnacentral:rRNA from 1 species
GAUGAACGCUGGCGGCGUGCCUAAUACAUGCAAGUCGAGCGAACAGACGAGGAGCUUACUCCUCUGACGUUAGCGGCGGACGGGUGAGUAACACGUGGAUAACCUACCUAUAAGACUGGGAUAACUUCGGGAAACCGGAGCUAAUACCGGAUAACAUGUUGAACCGCAUGGUUCAACAGUGAAAGACGGUCUUGCUGUCACUUAUAGAUGGAUCCGCGUCGCAUUAGCUAGUUGGUAAGGUAACGGCUUACCAAGGCAACGAUGCGUAGCCGACCUGAGAGGGUGAUCGGCCACACUGGAACUGAGACACGGUCCAGACUCCUACGGGAGGCAGCAGUAGGGAAUCUUCCGCAAUGGGCGAAAGCCUGACGGAGCAACGCCGCGUGAGUGAAGAAGGUCUUCGGAUCGUAAAACUCUGUUAUUAGGGAAGAACAAAUGUGUAAGUAACUAUGCACGUCUUGACGGUACCUAAUCAGAAAGCCACGGCUAACUACGUGCCAGCAGCCGCGGUAAUACGUAGGUGGCAAGCGUUAUCCGGAAUUAUUGGGCGUAAAGCGCGCGUAGGCGGUUUUUUAAGUCUGAUGUGAAAGCCCACGGCUCAACCGUGGAGGGUCAUUGGAAACUGGAAAACUUGAGUGCAGAAGAGGAAAGUGGAAUUCCAUGUGUAGCGGUGAAAUGCGCAGAGAUAUGGAGGAACACCAGUGGCGAAGGCGACUUGUCUGGUCUGUAACUGACGCUGAUGUGCGAAAGCGUGGGUAUCAAACAGGAUUAGAUACCCUGGUAGUCCACGCCGUAAACGAUGAGUGCUAAGUGUUAGGGGGUUUCCGCCCCUUAGUGCUGCAGCUAACGCAUUAAGCACUCCGCCUGGGGAGUACGACCGCAAGGUUGAAACUCAAAGGAAUUGACGGGGACCCGCACAAGCGGUGGAGCAUGUGGUUUAAUUCGAAGCAACGCGAAGAACCUUACCAAAUCUUGGCAUCCUCUGACCCCUCUAGAGAUAGAGUUUUCCCCUUCGGGGGACAGAGUGACAGGUGGUGCAUGGUUGUCGUCAGCUCGUGUCGUGAGAUGUUGGGUUAAGUCCCGCAACGAGCGCAACCCUUAAGCUUAGUUGCCAUCAUUAAGUUGGGCACUCUAAGUUGACUGCCGGUGACAAACCGGAGGAAGGUGGGGAUGACGUCAAAUCAUCAUGCCCCUUAUGAUUUGGGCUACACACGUGCUACAAUGGACAAUACAAAGGGUAGCGAAACCGCGAGGUCAAGCAAAUCCCAUAAAGUUGUUCUCAGUUCGGAUUGUAGUCUGCAACUCGACUACAUGAAGCUGGAAUCGCUAGUAAUCGUAGAUCAGCAUGCUACGGUGAAUACGUUCCCGGGUCU